GAUGAACGCUAGCGACAGGCUUAACACAUGCAAGUCGAGGGGCAGCAUAGAAGUAGCAAUACUUUGGUGGCGACCGGCGCACGGGUGAGUAACGCGUAUGCAACCUACCUAUCAGAGGGGGAUAACCCGGCGAAAGUCGGACUAAUACCGCAUAAAACAGGGGCACCGCAUGGUGAUAUUUGUUAAAGAUUAAUUGCUGAUAGAUGAGCAUGCGUUCCAUUAGGUAGUUGGUGAGGUAAUGGCUCACCAAGCCGACGAUGGAUAGGGGAACUGAGAGGUUGGUCCCCCACACUGGUACUGAGACACGGACCAGACUCCUACGGGAGGCAGCAGUGAGGAAUAUUGGUCAAUGGGCGAGAGCCUGAACCAGCCAAGUCGCGUGAAGGAAGAAGGAUCUAUGGUUCGUAAACUUCUUUUGCAGGGGAAUAAAGUGGAGGACGUGUCCUCUUUUGUAUGUACCCUGAGAAUAAGGAUCGGCUAACUCCGUGCCAGCCGCCGCCGUAACAC
rnacentral:rRNA from 1 species